rnacentral:rRNA from 1 species
UACGAAGGGGGCGAGCGUUGUUCGGAAUUACUGGGCGUAAAGGGCGCGCAGGCGGCGUUCUGAAAGUCAGAUGUGAAAGCCCCGGGCUUAAACCUGGGAAUUGGCAUUUGACUACUCUGGAGCGUUGAGUGUGGGAGAGGAGAGUGGGAAGUUCCCAGUUGUAGAGGUGGAAAUUCGUAGAUAGUUGGGAAGAACACCGGUGGCGAAGGCGGCUCUCUGGACCCACAA